UGUCCCAUUUGACUACCACAUUUUCUCUUGAUAAUAGAUUUUGGUGGCUAUGCUUAUGGGAUAGAUUAAAGGUGCCAUGAUCUGAAGAGUGAGGGCUUUCCAAUGUCUUCCCUCUAUAUGAAAUGGCUGAACAUUAAAUC
ensembl:snoRNA Gm22884 small nucleolar RNA SNORA29